AUUUGAAUAGCUUAUAUUUAGAGUACAACAUUGAAGAUGUUGUUGAGGUAUCUACCUUCAAGUG
rnacentral:tRNA from 1 species